GACGAACGCUGGCGGCGUGCUUAACACAUGCAAGUCGAACGGAAAGGCCCUGCUUGCAGGGUACUCGAGUGGCGAACGGGUGAGUAACACGUGGGUGAUCUGCCCUGCACUUCGGGAUAAGCCUGGGAAACUGGGUCUAAUACCGGAUAGGAGCCAUUUUUAGUGUGAUGGUUGGAAAGUUUUUUCGGUGUAGGAUGAGCUCGCGGCCUAUCAGCUUGUUGGUGGGGUAAUGGCCUACCAAGGCGGCGACGGGUAGCCGGCCUAAGAGGGUGGACGGCCACAUUGGGACUGAGAUACGGCCCAGACUCCUACGGGAGGCAGCAGUGGGGAAUAUUGCACAAUGGGCGCAAGCCUGAUGCAGCGACGCCGCGUGGGGGAUGACGGCCUUCGGGUUGUAAACGCCUUUCGCUAGGGACGAAGCUUUUUGUGACGGUACCUAGAUAAGAAGCACCGGCUAACUACGUG
rnacentral:rRNA from 1 species